rnacentral:lncRNA from 1 species
UGAACCAGCCAACGUAACAACAAGAUAUUCCAGUUUUGCUUCUGCUGGACCUGUCAUCACAGCAACAAUGUCAUCAUCAUCACUUGGAUAAACAGCAUCCCUGUUGAUUGGAGAUUCUACCCAUGGCCGAGCUACGUAUCUCUUCCUCCCCCCUUUCUUUAAAAUGUCCUCGUGUACACUUCAUGUGAGUGUGGGUGUAUUCACGAGGACCCCCUUUUCUCCCUAUCCCGCCUGGUGGACUCAACUUUUCGGCGGAUGGAUGGAGUUUCACUUAAGUGGAUGGAUGCCUGGCUGAAUUUCCCAGGCUCAAAGUUAGAUUGUGCGCGCGGAGAUUCUCGAUAGGAAAAAAACAGACAAGAUAAGACAACGAGGAUUGGAUGAGUAUUUGAUUCCGGCCCAAGACGACGAGAGAUGCGUGAAAGCAAAGGGAAACUCUCUGGUGCUGGUUCUGGGGCGCUUGAU